rnacentral:snoRNA from 1 species
ACAACCUUACUUGAAUAUGAUCCGUUCUAUAGGCUCGUACAACUGUAUCCUUGAUUUCUAAGAAGAUCAGAACAAAAAUAAUA